rnacentral:rRNA from 1 species
GGGUUGUGAGGUUAAGCGACUAAGCGUACACGGUGGAUGCCCUGGCAGUCAGAGGCGAUGAAGGGCGUGCUAAUCUGCGAUAAGCGCCGGUAAGGUGAUAUGAACCGUUAUAACCGGCGAUACCCGAAUGGGGAAACCCAGUGUGAUUCGUCACACUAUCAUUAACUGAAUCCAUAGGUUAAUGAGGCGAACCGGGGGAACUGAAACAUCUAAGUACCCCGAGGAAAAGAAAUCAACCGAGAUUCCCCCAGUAGCGGCGAGCGAACGGGGAGGAGCCCAGAGCCUGAAUCAGCAUGUGUGUUAGUGGAAGCGUCUGGAAAGGCGCGCGAUACAGGGUGACAGCCCCGUACACAAAAGCGCAUGUGCUGUGAGCUCGAUGAGUAGGGCGGGACACGUGGUAUCCUGUCUGAAUAUGGGGGGACCAUCCUCCAAGGCUAAAUACUCCUGACUGACCGAUAGUGAACCAGUACCGUGAGGGAAAGGCGAAAAGAACCCCGGCGAGGGGAGUGAAAAAGAACCUGAAACCGUGUACGUACAAGCAGUGGGAGCNNNNNNNNNNNNNNNNNNNNNNNNNNNNNNNNNNGGGCGUUAAGUUGCAGGGUAUAGACCCGAAACCCGGUGAUCUAGCCAUGGGCAGGUUGAAGGUUGGGUAACACUAACUGGAGGACCGAACCGACUAAUGUUGAAAAAUUAGCGGAUGACCUGUGGCUGGGGGUGAAAGGCCAAUCAAACCGGGAGAUAGCUGGUUCUCCCCGAAAGCUAUUUAGGUAGCGCCUCGUGAAUUCAUCUCCGGGGGUAGAGCACUGUUUCGGCUAGGGGGCCAUCCCGGCUUACCAACCCGAUGCAAACUGCGAAUACCGGAGAAUGUUAUCACGGGAGACACACGGCGGGUGCUAACGUCCGUCGUGAAGAGGGAAACAACCCAGACCGCCAGCUAAGGUCCCAAAGUCAUGGUUAAGUGGGAAACGAUGUGGGAAGGCCCAGACAGCCAGGAUGUUGGCUUAGAAGCAGCCAUCAUUUAAAGAAAGCGUAAUAGCUCACUGGUCGAGUCGGCCUGCGCGGAAGAUGUAACGGGGCUAAACCAUGCACCGAAGCUGCGGCAGCGACACUGUGUGUUGUUGGGUAGGGGAGCGUUCUGUAAGCCUGCGAAGGUGGCCUGUGAGGGUUGCUGGAGGUAUCAGAAGUGCGAAUGCUGACAUAAGUAACGAUAAAGCGGGUGAAAAGCCCGCUCGCCGGAAGACCAAGGGUUCCUGUCCAACGUUAAUCGGGGCAGGGUGAGUCGACCCCUAAGGCGAGGCCGAAAGGCGUAGUCGAUGGGAAACGGGUUAAUAUUCCCGUACUUGGUGUUACUGCGAAGGGGGGACGGAGAAGGCUAUGUUGGCCGGGCGACGGUUGUCCCGGUUUAAGCGUGUAGGUGUGUGUUCCAGGUAAAUCCGGUUCACUUUAACACUGAGGCGUGACGACGAGGCACUACGGUGCUGAAGCAACAAAUGCCCUGCUUCCAGGAAAAGCCUCUAAGCAUCAGGUAACAUCAAAUCGUACCCCAAACCGACACAGGUGGUCAGGUAGAGAAUACCAAGGCGCUUGAGAGAACUCGGGUGAAGGAACUAGGCAAAAUGGUGCCGUAACUUCGGGAGAAGGCACGCUGACACGUAGGUGAAGUGAUUUACUCAUGGAGCUGAAGUCAGUCGAAGAUACCAGCUGGCUGCAACUGUUUAUUAAAAACACAGCACUGUGCAAACACGAAAGUGGACGUAUACGGUGUGACGCCUGCCCGGUGCCGGAAGGUUAAUUGAUGGGGUCAGCGCAAGCGAAGCUCCUGAUCGAAGCCCCGGUAAACGGCGGCCGUAACUAUAACGGUCCUAAGGUAGCGAAAUUCCUUGUCGGGUAAGUUCCGACCUGCACGAAUGGCGUAAUGAUGGCCAGGCUGUCUCCACCCGAGACUCAGUGAAAUUGAACUCGCUGUGAAGAUGCAGUGUACCCGCGGCAAGACGGAAAGACCCCGUGAACCUUUACUAUAGCUUGACACUGAACAUUGAGCCUUGAUGUGUAGGAUAGGUGGGAGGCUUUGAAGUGUGGACGCCAGUCUGCAUGGAGCCGACCUUGAAAUACCACCCUUUAAUGUUUGAUGUUCUAACGUGGACCCGUUACCCGGGUUGCGGACAGUGUCUGGUGGGUAGUUUGACUGGGGCGGUCUCCUCCUAAAGAGUAACGGAGGAGCACGAAGGUUGGCUAAUCCUGGUCGGACAUCAGGAGGUUAGUGCAAUGGCAUAAGCCAGCUUGACUGCGAGCGUGACGGCGCGAGCAGGUGCGAAAGCAGGUCAUAGUGAUCCGGUGGUUCUGAAUGGAAGGGCCAUCGCUCAACGGAUAAAAGGUACUCCGGGGAUAACAGGCUGAUACCGCCCAAGAGUUCAUAUCGACGGCGGUGUUUGGCACCUCGAUGUCGGCUCAUCACAUCCUGGGGCUGAAGUAGGUCCCAAGGGUAUGGCUGUUCGCCAUUUAAAGUGGUACGCGAGCUGGGUUUAGAACGUCGUGAGACAGUUCGGUCCCUAUCUGCCGUGGGCGCUGGAGAACUGAGGGGGGCUGCUCCUAGUACGAGAGGACCGGAGUGGACGCAUCACUGGUGUUCGGGUUGUCAUGCCAAUGGCACUGCCCGGUAGCUAAAUGCGGAAGAGAUAAGUGCUGAAAGCAUCUAAGCACGAAACUUGCCCCGAGAUGAGUUCUCCCUGAGACUUAAAGUCUCCUGAAGGAACGUUGAAGACGACGACGUUGAUAGGCCGGGUGUGUAAGCGCAGCGAUGCGUUGAGCUAACCGGUACUAAUGAACCGUGAGGCUUAACCUUACAACGCCGAAG